AGAAAAGUUGUGACAAGUACCUAUUAUUUCUUUUUUUAGAGAGCUUACGGUUGGUGAAAGUAAGUAAAAGGAGGUAGGGAAUCCACACAAUAAUUUGCUUAUAAAUUUGAUUUUAUCAAGGAAUAUUGCCGGCUAACAACCGUUAUCUGUGAGUGCAAGACAAAUUGAUUGUCUUGAAUCAGGGUGGUACCGCGAAAAAAAGAUUAAAGAGCCAUUUCGUCCCUUAU
rnacentral:ncRNA from 1 species